GACGAACGCUGGCGGCGUGCUUAACACAUGCAAGUCGAACGGAAAGGCCCUGCUUUUGUGGGGUGCUCGAGUGGCGAACGGGUGAGUAACACGUGAGUAACCUGCCCUUGACUUUGGGAUAACUUCAGGAAACUGGGGCUAAUACCGGAUAGGAGCUCCUGCUGCAUGGUGGGGUUGGAAAGUUUCGGCGGUUGGGGAUGGACUCGCGGCUUAUCAGCUUGUUGGUGGGGUAGUGGCUUACCAAGGCUUUGACGGGUAGCCGGCCUGAGAGGGUGACCGGCCACAUUGGGACUGAGAUACGGCCCAGACUCCUACGGGAGGCAGCAGUGGGGAAUAUUGCACAAUGGGCGGAAGCCUGAUGCAGCAACGCCGCGUGCGGGAUGACGGCCUUCGGGUUGUAAACCGCUUUCGCCUGUGGCGAAGCGUGAGUGACGGUAAUGGGUAAAGAAGCACCGGCUAACUACGUG
rnacentral:rRNA from 1 species